rnacentral:rRNA from 1 species
GACGAACGUUGGCGGCGUGCUUAAUACAUGCAAGUCAACUGAAGCAGUGGUAGUAAUACUACUGUGGAGGUGGCGCACGGGUGAGUAACGCGUAGGUAAUCUGCCUUUGGGUCUGACAUAACUCCGAGAAAUCGAAGCUAAUAUCAGAUGAUGCAGCGGCUUGACAUCAAGACAGUUGUUAAAGCUUCGGCGCCCAAAGAUGAGCCUGCGUCCCAUAGGUAGUUGGCGGAGUAAUAGCCCACCAAGCCCACGAUGGGUAGCUGGUCUGAGAGGAUGAUCAGCCACACUGGAACUGAGACACGGUCCAGACUCCUACGGGAGGCAGCAGUAAGGAAUAUUGCUCAAUGGCCGAAAGGCUGAAGCAGCAACGCCGCGUGAAGGAUGAAGGCCUUUUGGUUGUAAACUUCUGUAGAGAGAAGAAAAACU